CGUAGGGUGCGAGCGUUGUCCGGAAUUAUUGGGCGUAAAGAGCUUGUAGGUGGUUUGUCGCGUCUGCUGUGAAAAUCCGGGGCUCAACCCCGGACUUGCAGUGGGUACGGGCAGACUAGAGUGUGGUAGGGGAGACUGGAAUUCCUGGUGUAGCGGUGGAAUGCGCAGAUAUCAGGAGGAACACCGAUGGCGAAGGCAGGUCUCUGGGCCAUUACUGACACUGAGAAGCGAAAGCAUGGGGAGCGAACAGGAUUAGAUACCCUGGUAGUCCAUGCCGUAAACGUUGGGAACUAGGUGUGGGUCUCAUUCCACCAGAUCCGUGCCGCAGCUAACGCAUUAAGUUCCCCGCCUGGGGAGUACGGCCGCAAGGCUA
rnacentral:rRNA from 1 species